CAUAAUUUAGACCCUAAUUCAUAUCGAAUCGAAUCGAACCAAACCGAAUCACAUCACCGCCGAACCACCUGUACCUCCUAACAACCUAAAAACAAACCACCACGGAUUCCCUCAUCUCCACCAUAGUCCCACCGCCAAUUAUCCAUUUUCGUUCCAUCUCCGGUGAACAAACCACUAAGCAGCCAUCAAAAUCCCUUUUCCCCAAUUUUUAAUACCACUUUCUGUCAGUUUCAUAUGCGGUGUUUAUCAUCGUUUUUCUCCGAAGAAGCUCUGGUCAGAAUCGUAAUUGCCGGUCCGGUUCUGCUUCAAAUGGCAGAGAUUGGAAUAUCUGACAGUAGCUGGUGGUUCGUUAGAAGAAACGAUCACACUGCAAAAAUUUCCAGUACAGAGGAAAAUAAAUCUUCCUGGCAAUUUUGGUAAAGUUUUUUUUUUUUUUGGCAGUAAAAUGUGAACUCUCCCUGAUGAUAUGUUUUAUCUACUGGAUUACAAACCUACUAUUAGCUUUUGCCUUCAUGAAGAUCACUUGGUUUCGAGUCAGCCAUGUGUAGUAGAUUACAACUUCAUAUGUAGCAGCAACCACUACUUUUCUCCCUCUAUUCCAGUGCUUAUUCUUGAUGCAUAUCCUUAACCCCUUUACAUGGUAAGCUUAUCCCCAACCAUACCUCUUUACUCCAUGGGCAUUGACCAAAUAAAUGCUCAUCAUCUUACGUGCUGCACUAUUACAUAGAUUGGAAUCAGUAUCUCCUGUCCCGAAAUCUAUCUUUUGUAUUCUGUAUUUCGUAAGAAGUCUACCCCAAAGAGCAAGCCAAUUGAUAAAUCGAUGUUUAGGUACUGUGAUUCUAUUUCAUAUUAGAAUAGCUAUCUCCAAUUUCGGUACACUGCCUAUUAGACUUUCAUAUCCCAAAGACACUGAAUACUCACCAUUACCUGUUAAAUAAUAGUUAUCAUUGUUAUAUCAUGCUCUCAUCUUCAACUUCAUUUUAUGUAAUGCUUUCUAGUACCAGCUGCAAUCCCCAAGGGGUUUACUUGUCCAAAAAUCACAAUCAUGUUUCAUAUAUAAUUCAUUCACCCAUUUUACCCACAAAAUAUCUUUUUUUCUCCAUUAGUAACCAAAUAUGUUUUCCAACUGAUGCCACAUUCCAGUGCUUACAGCUUUUGAUACUUAAGCCUCCUUGUUGUUUAGGCCUACAAAUAUUAUCCCAAGCUACUAGAGAAGUUUUCUUCUUUCCUUCAGUGCCUCCCCACAGGUACUCCCUACAUUUCCCAUCUAUCUCUUUAACUACACUCUAAGGCAAAAUAAAUACAGCCCCCCAAAAAUUAUGAAUGGAAAAUAGGAUAGAUGUAAUAACCUGCAACUUCCCCGCAUACGAUAAAUGCCUAUUUGAUACUGAUAUGAUUCUUUCGAUGAUCUUUUGGCAUAGCUUGUUGCACUCUAUUUUGGACCAUUUCUUUGGGGACAGUUGGAGUCCUAGAUAUCUGAUAGGAAACUCACCUUCGACAUAGUCAGUCAUUUCUAACAGUCUUUCUUUGACAACAUCGGAUACCCUAGCUAUAAAAAUACUAGACUUAUCUGUAUUGGUUACCGGUCCUGUUACUUUGGAGAAGUGAUUUAAAGCUUCUACAAUCCUUUGCAUUGACUCCUCAUGCCCUUUACUAAAUAUCAUCAGAUUAUCAGGAAAUAUGAGGUGAUUGAGAGCCUGAUUUUUACACAUUGGAUGGAUUCUGAAGUCUGGAGGUUGUCCCAUUUUUGCCAAGACUCUAGUUAAGUACUCCAUUACAAGUACAAAGAGUAAAGGUGAUAACGGGUCCCCCUAUCUCAAGCCCCUUUUCCCUUCAAAGUAGCCAUAAUUGUUUCCAUUAACUCUGACUGAAAACUUUGUUGAUGUUAUACACACCAUAAUCAAGUGGAAGAAUUUUUGUGGGAAACCAUAACCAUGUAGCAUUUCCUUCAUGAAUUCCCAACUCACCAUGUCAUAGGCUUUCCUUAAGUCUAUUUUCAUCAUACACAUUGGUGUAGUUUUCCGCUUGUAGUGUCUCAAUCGAUCAUGACAUAUAAGGACAUUGUGUACUAGAGAACUCCCUUUUACAAACGCUGCUGGAGUUUGGUUUACCAAAUAUGGCAACACCUUCUUCAGUCUGCUACAUAACAACUUGGAAAUCACUUUGUAUAUCACAUUGCAGCAGGAAAUUGGUCUAUAUAUACUGACUAGCUGAAUCAGGUCUUUUGACUUUAGGAAUCAAGAUUAUUACAGUUGCAUUAACCGGUCCUAACAACUUCCCAGUUUUCAUGAACUCCAGCACAACAUUAAUAACAUCCUCCCCUAUUAUAUCCCAGACAUCUCUAAAGAACCCACUACUAUAACAAUUAGGUCAUGCACUUUUUGUUAUUUUGAUGCUAAAUACUGCCUCUUUCACCUCCUUCCUGGUAAACGGUUCAAGUAGUUGCACUUGUUGAUACACAAAUAACUGAUUUCCAUUCUUUAAGAACACCUCUUCAGCCUUUUGUCGUUGUCCAAAAUCCUUUUCCCCUAAUAGUUGAGAGAAAUACCUGACAAUUAUAACAACAUUGUUUAGGAUGAGUUUGCAUCUGCAUGUUCUCAUCUUGCAACUGAGUAAUAGUUUGUUGAAGCCUUUUCUGUUUGAGAAUGGAAUGGAAAUAUUGAGUAUUAUCAUCCCCUAGUCUCAGCCAAGUUGCUUUGCUUCUCUGAAUCAACAUCAUUUCUGCCAAGUAGCUCAUCCUUUUAAAUUCCCUACCAAUUUCUAAUUCCUCAUGUUGUUUUAGCCUAUUGGAGGGUCUGCUUGUAACUGAUCCUGUGCCACCUGCAACUUCCCUCUAAGCUUAUUAACCUCAUCCAACAAAUUUGCAAAAUGUUGAGUAUGUAGCUUCCGUAUCUCAGUUUUCAGCAUCUUCAAUUUCUGCAUUAGUUGAUACAUCAGGCACCUAGGGACUUGUCUUUGCCACACUUCUGAACUAUACCCUUAAAUUGAUCUUGAGAGCUCCACAUAUUGCAAUACUUAAAUGCUGCUCUUUGUCUUACCACUCUGCCCCCACCUCUAACAUGUAUUGGACUAUGAUCGCUUACCCCUUCAUUCAUGAAUGUUGUUCGACAGUCAAACAUUUCAUCUACCCAUACUCCAUUUAUAAAAGACCAAUCUAUUUUAGAGAACACUCCAUUUGUAGUUCCUUUGUCAUUCCAUGUAUAGGCCUUCCCAUUACUCCCCAUUUCCUCCGGCAUACAGGUGUCCAGACAGUCUUGAAAGUCGCACACUUCUGAGAAAGUGACUUGUGCCCCACCAAGUCUAUCUGUAGCAUGUAAUACAUUGUUAAAAUCUCCCAGUAUUAUCCAUGGUUUAUCCAUUCCAUAUCCUAUUUGUGUAAGAUAACUCUAUAAUCCUUUUCUUUCUUCCCUCCCAUUUUGGGCAUAUACAAAGGUGCUAUAAAACUCCUUCUGUAGAGGUAAAUACUUAACCAAACAAGUUACAGCUUGGUCAGAUUCACUACAGAUAGUUACCUCACAGACAUCCUCUUUCCAUACCACCAAACUCCGACCAUUAUGGUGAGAACUAUGAUUAGAGUUGUAUUUCCAUCCCCCAAACAUUGAUACUGCAACCCUAUUAAUACGUUUAUGUUUAAUCUUGGUCUCGAGAAGCCCAAACAUCAAGCUGUUUACAGAGGUACAUCACUUCCCUCUGCUUAUUGAGGCCAUUUAGGCCUCGAACAUUCCAACAAAGGAGAGUAACCAUUCCCCAGAGGGGUUUGGACAAUGUUACCAUCCUUUCCCUCAUUAGAAACUUGCUCAGGCUCAUCUCGUAUAGUAAGAGGUUUGAAAGCAUUUGUUGCACUGACAUGCUGAGUCUCGAUCGUUUUUCUUCCCUGCUGAAACCUCCUAUUAUUGCCACCCAUACUUUCAAAUCUGCUGCACUUUCUCCUUCCCCUUAUCAACUCGCGCAUUAGCCUGCAUCUUGUCCUCCUCCUUGGUUUCCUUCGUUUCAUCCACAUGCUGUUGUGUUGGAUGUAAUUUCCUACAAUUAUCUUUAUCAUGACCAUAUUUAUGACAAUGGUCACAUAAAGAUGGCCUCCAGUCAUAUGUCACUGAUUGUGUAAUUACCACACCCUUUUCAUUUCUAAACAACACCUCUUCAAGUAGUGUCUUCCCCACAUUAACCUCAACCAACAGUCGAGCAUAGCUUAAUCCCAAUUUCUUUUCAGUCUGUUUGUCAACCAUCAACGGUUUACCUACUAGACUACCUAUCUUACUGAAACCCCUUGCACUCCAAUAUUUGAAAUCUAAUCCUGGCAGUUUGAUCCAUAUUGGUACGGUCAGAAGUUCCUCUUUAGAAAACUCCAUUUCUGGAGUCCAAGCGUAACUAUCAACGGCUUGUUAUCAAAAUGAUAGAUACCUCCCUGUAACACCUCCAAUUUUCCUUCCUCACUAUCAAACUUCGCCAUGACAAUCCCAUUCCUCAUCAUUGCCACUUUGUUGAUUCCAUAUUUACCCCACACUCUUUGGAUAAAUCCAUUAAGAACUGUAUAUGGUGGGUGUGCACCCAACACAUAGCAAACAAUAGGAAUGUGCCAAUACUCUACCUUAGAGCUAAUAUCCCCCAAAUCAAUUUCACCAAUUAAUUUGUUGUCACCAAUUAAGCUGUGUCGGUCCCCCAUUACCAGGUUGCGUGUUCUUUUGUGUACCUCAUAGUGUGCUUGCUUCAGCUAGGUUUGUGCUCUUUGGCCUCCUGCCCAUGGCAAGCGGCCGUGCACAGGGAGAGCUUUUAGAGCUUCAAGAACAUGUUAUCAACUAAGAAAUUGUUUUGUUAUUGUUCUAACAAUUUUACCAUUUUAUUUUUUUGCCGAUUUCUGUUUUGCUGAAGGUGAAAAUGGUGGGUAUAUUUGUAGAUCUAGAAGAAGACAUGGAGUUGGUGGUGGACAGAGAUGAGCGGAGAUGAGGUGAAAAUGGUGGGUAUUGUUGCAUAUUGUAUUGUGCAUACUGUAUUACUUUAAUGUAUGCUAUGUUUGGAUAGAUUGUAUUGUUCUCCAUCGUUACAUAAAUAUCACACAUCAACAAUUUGAUUGAUAAAUCAAUGAGAAAAGUACGUUUUGGG
rnacentral:lncRNA from 1 species